UACGUAGGGCGCAAGCGUUGUCCGGAAUUAUUGGGCGUAAAGAGCUCGUAGGCGGUUUGUCGCGUCUGCUGUGAAAUCCCGAGGCUCAACCUCGGGCUUGCAGUGGGUACGGGCAGACUAGAGUGCGGUAGGGGAGACUGGAAUUCCUGGUGUAGCGGUGGAAUGCGCAGAUAUCAGGAGGAACACCGAUGGCGAAGGCAGGUCUCUGGGCCGCAACUGACGCUGGAGGAGCGAAAGCCAUGGGGAGCGAACAGG
rnacentral:rRNA from 1 species